UAGGGCUGAGCAUCGGUUCAAAACCGAACCGAACCGAACCAAUUUCACAAAACCGAAACCGAACCGACAUAGGUAGUACACGGACCGAACCGAACCGCCUGGAGCCCGAAAACCGACCAUAACCGAACCGGUCGAAACCGAUCGGUUUCGGUCGGUUACCAAACCGACCGAUUUGCCCAAUUUUUUGAAAAACAGCCUGUAAUAUUCGAAAAAAAAUAUAAAAAUCUGCCCAAAUCAAACCCCAAUCUAUGCAUUCAUUCGAUUUACCAACCACCAAAAUUCGAAAAAAAAAACUGACCAAAACAAACUUCAAAUUUUAAUCGAAAAAACAACAAAAAUUCGAUUUACCUUUCGGACGAGGGGAGAAAGGUGACGGGUGGAGGUCUGCGUGACUGCGUCAGGCUUCAGCGGCGGAGGAGAAGCCGAUCUGGAGUCCUGGACGGCGGGUCUGGGCCGUCUGGCUCGUGCUGGAGACGUCAGACGCAGCGGGGGGCGGCCGGCGGUCUGCUCGUGCUGGUCUGCUCGUGCUACCGUGCGCGAAGAAUGGAGGCGACGCGGGCAGGUGGUGGUCGCCGGUCCUAAAACCGAAACCGAACCGAUACAUGAUCGGUUUUUUACUCUUAAAACCGAACCGAAAACCGAACCAGAAAUUCCAAAACCGAACCGAACCAAAAAUGGU
rnacentral:lncRNA from 1 species